rnacentral:rRNA from 1 species
UACAGAGGUCUCAAGCGUUGUUCGGAUUCAUUGGGCGUAAAGGGUGCGUAGGCGGCGCGGUAAGUCGGGUGUGAAAUCUUGGAGCUUAACUCCGAAACUGCAUUCGAUACUGCCGUGCUUGAGGACUGGAGAGGAGACUGGAAUUUACGGUGUAGCGGUGAAAUGCGUAGAUAUCGUAAGGAAGACCAGUGGCGAAGGCAGCCUUCUGGGCCAACACUGACGCUCAUGCACGAAAGCGUGGGGAGCAAACAGG